AUAAACCGCUGCUGGAGCUGGCUGC
rnacentral:sRNA from 1 species